rnacentral:tRNA from 1 species
AAAGAUUUAAGUUAACUAAACUACUUACUUUCAAAGUAAGAAAUAUCCUUCCCUUUAAUCCUUG